GGGGUCGAAACGCCGCGUGACUUGUAGGUGAGAGAACGCCGAGCCGUCGCCGCAGCCUCCGCCGCCGAGAAGCCCUUGUUCCCGCUGCUGGGAAGGAGAGUCUGUGCCGACAAGAUGGCGGACGGGGAGCUGAACGUGGACAGCCUCAUCACCCGGCUGCUGGAGGUACGAGGAUGUCGUCCAGGAAAGAUUGUGCAGAUGACUGAAGCAGAAGUUCGAGGCUUAUGUAUCAAGUCUCGGGAGAUCUUUCUCAGCCAGCCUAUUCUUUUGGAAUUGGAAGCACCGCUGAAAAUUUGUGGUAUGUAAAUGGGUAAAGUUGGAAACAACUCUUUUGAAUCAUGUUUUUCCUCCCAUGUUUAAGAUCUAGAGAAAACAUUUUUUGAAAAUUUUGUAUAAAACAGAUCAGUAGGCUUUACUAAAUAAAAGUGUAUAAAAAUUGAAACUUAUAAAAAUGACAAGUUACAGACAAGAUGAAAGUACUUGCUGUAUAUCAACAGAUAAAAGGAGUUCUAUUUAUAAUAUAUAAAGAGUUCUUAUAAAUAAGAGAAAGACGAUACAAUAUAAAAAUAACAUAGGA
rnacentral:sRNA from 1 species